rfam:Caenorhabditis briggsae complete genome, chrV
GGGAUGUUGAGGUAGGCUCAGUAGAUGCGAGGAGAUCCACCAUUCCUCACAUCGUCUGUCCUAACUCGCCUUCCC